rnacentral:rRNA from 1 species
AUGGAUGCUGACCAAAGCUUCUUGGACACCCUUGGUUUUGGUUACACGCAAACACAACCACAAAGUCCAAUUGGAGAGCAGGCAACUCCAUCAACUCAGCAUCAAGCAACACCAUCAACGCAUCAACGUUCUGCAAUAAUAGAGAAAGGAAAAUCCAACAAAGGAAAAAAUUGGUCUAGUGAUGAGGACAAGGUUCUCAUAGCAGCAUGGGCAAAUACAAGUUUGGAUAUUGUUGGGACUGAUCAAAACCGAGAUGCUUAUUGGGCUAGAAUUUCAGAGUACUACAACACACACAAGGAAUCGUCAUGGCUGGAGCGUAAUCCUAAUGCAAUCAAUUGCCGUUACACAUUGAUUAACAGAGAGACCUCCAAAUUUUGUGGUUGCCUUCAGCAGAUUUUAAAUAAGGAAGAAAGUGGAAGGACUAUAGCAGAAAAGACAAACGAUGCACACAUUCUGUUCAAGGAAAUGGAUGUAAAAAAAACGGCCUUUCACAUUGAUGCAUUGCUAUAUAGAGUUUGCAAAGUAUCCAAAGUGGCAGACAAGAGAACUUGA